rnacentral:rRNA from 1 species
UACGGAGGGUGCAAGCGUUAUCCGGAUUCACUGGGUUUAAAGGGUGCGUAGGUGGGUUGGUAAGUCAGUGGUGAAAUCCCCGAGCUUAACUUGGGAACUGCCAUUGGUACUAUCAAUCUUGAAUACCGUGGAGGUCAGCGGAAUAUGUCAUGUAGCGGUGAAAUGCUUAGAUAUGACAUAGAACACCAAUUGCGAAGGCAGCUGGCUACACGAAUAUUGACACUGAGGCACGAAAGCGUGGGGAUCAAACAGG